AGGACCAAAGUACUUUUAAAAAGAAGAAAAGAGGAGGGACGGAAGAGGCGGUAAAACCAAUGUCGGCCUCUUGAAAUCUUGAUGACCGGAAGCUCUUCACUGCUGCCUGCCUUGAUGCACCUGAGUACUGACUUCUGGGUGCUCCUGACCCACGCUCUUCUGGAGAGGCCCAGGGGAUGCUAAAAGCAUCCAGCUCAGGGCCUCACACCUGAGGGGCUAAUAGACAAUUUCCCAUCCACCUGUCAGUGUGGAUAGCCAGCGCUGCUUCCCACAGGGCUGGACUCACUUGGUUUCCUUUCCUCUCACUGUGCAGCAAUGAGUCUGGUCAGGAGCUUCAAAAGCCAGGAGUGACCAGGAACCGGACCUAGAUACCAGAGAAAGAUUCCGGGAGAGGUAGACAUCUUCAUCCAGAGAGCCAUAGACAGCCUCUGCUCAUUGAACAUGAGGGAGAAUUGCACUGACACCUUUAAGAGGUGAGAGGUUUUAAGAUUAUGAGGACUGCUAUUAAAAGGGAUUGUUGGAUGUCAGGAAGCAGAGGACAGAGGAAACAGUCCAGGCAGUGGAGUCACCACCAAAUGAAAGACAGACAGCGGAGCAACCGAUUGGAGUUCCUGAGCCUGUUCUAGCAGGUAUCCUAGCCUACCAGUGCUCUCACACAUUCCCUUUUCUCUGUGAGACUACUCCUAUGAACGCCAGGCUUCCGCUUCCUUCCCACAGACCCCGUUGGGGUCCAGGUAUCCAUGCGUGGAAUCUCUGUCCUUAUUUUUCUCUCCCUGGCUGUGGCAUUGAUAUUUUUCUUGCCAUCCUGGGGCUCUUCAAGAUACGUUUGUUUUUCUUUUACUAUAAUUUCAGGUAAGGUGAAAUCCAUGAGGAUACAGCCUUAAGGGGAAAUAGCUUCUAGCAAAAGUUAUCAGGAAGCCACAUGCUUUCUGGGAAUGACUGUGGUGUCUACAUAAUCAUCUCAACCUUUUAUACCUCAGGUCAAUUCAAUUUCUGCUCUAACAAGGCCAUAGCAAUUACUUCAUGACCAAUCCACUUCGGAGUGGAGACAAAAAAAGUACAAGAAUUAAGGAGCCAGCCCACCCCACUCCCAGCUUAGAAAUGGGAGCUCCAUUUGUGCAGACCUUAAAUUAGGCUGAGCUCAUCUGAAGUGAUGGGGGGGAUUAGACUCCUAGCGGCAGACUCAAGGGAAUAAAUAACCAGCUGAAGCCACAAAUCUUAAAACAUAAUCUUCCAUCUUAACUCCCAAGAGGCCAUAAGAUUAUUGAUAAGAUAAGAAGAAGAAGAAGAAGAAGAAGAAGAAGAAGAAGAAGAAGAAGAAGAAGAAGAAGAAGAAGAAGAAGAAGAAGAAGAAAUGAGAGGUCAUACUAGGGAGAACAAGCUGAGGGCUGCAGAUACUGUGACUCAAGUCAGCCUCACUUUUGGGAUACUCCUGUCUGAGAAAAUGACACAGGAGGUGAGUCACACAGGCCAGCACAGAUGCUGGUCUCAGAAGAGAGGAUGCAGGGGUGAGAUGUAGGGGAGGUAGCAAAUCUGGUAUGAGGGUGAGCUGUAAAAAUAACCAUUAGCCCAACCCAGUUGAUCUACAUCACAGCUUGAAAGAAGAAACACCCUUGGUUAUAUGUUACCUUUGGUUAGAAGACACGUCCUAGUUUCAGAGAUUAUUUAAAUGUGGGGGAAAUGUGUCUCAGAAUAGAUAAAGCAUGGAAACCCAUGUUACAAGUCAGUGUCACUUGCCUCCCAAGUAUGAGGAUCAACAUUCAGACUCCUGGAUCCCAACAUAUUCUGCGUGUUUGUGGGGAUGGCAGUCCGUGUACGACUCAAGCCUUGAAAGGCAAAGGCAAGAUCCUCCGAGCAGGCUGGCUACUGAGAUGAGCCAGAAGGGGGACUCGACAUCUGACUGAGAGGCCCUGUUUCGCCAAAUGAGGUGAAGGGUGGCUAAGGAUCGUUCCCAACAUCAGCCUUGGGCCUCUGAGCGUGCCCACAAUAGCUAAACACGUGCAAGCACACACUGUAAAGAAAUCGGUGUCAGCAUAUUCCCAUGGGAGGACGCAUGUCAUUACCAGGUGAAGGACGGAUGGAUGGAUGGAUGGACGGA
rnacentral:sRNA from 1 species